rnacentral:rRNA from 1 species
AGUGGCGGACGGGUGAGUAACGCGUGGGCAACCUGCCCUGUACCAGGGGAUAACAGCCGGAAACGGCUGCUAAUACCGCAUAAGCGCACGAGAGCGCAUGCUUUUGUGUGAAAAACUCCGGUGGUACGGGAUGGGCCCGCGUCUGAUUAGCUUGUUGGCGGGGUAGAAGCCCACCAAGGCGACGAUCAGUAGCCGACCUGAGAGGGUGACCGGCCACAUUGGGACUGAGACACGGCCCAAACUCCUACGGAAGGCAGCAG